GAUCCUGGCUUAGGAUGAACGCUAGCGGCAGGCUAACACAUGCAAGUCGAGGGGCAGCGGGGUCCAGCAAUGGGCUGCCGGCGACCGGCGCACGGGUGCGUAACGCGUAUGCAACCUGCCCGCGACAGGGGGAUAACCGGUGGAAACGCCGACUAAUACCCCGUAACGCACGGUCUCGCAUGGGAUUGUGCUGAAAGCUUCGGUGGUCGCGGAUGGGCAUGCGUGGCAUUAGGUAGUUGGCGGGCAACGGCCCACCAAGCCUACGAUGCCUAGGGGAGCUGAGAGGCUUAUCCCCCACACUGGUACUGAGACACGGACCAGACUCCUACGGGAGGCAGCAGUGAGGAAUAUUGGUCAAUGGGCGGAAGCCUGAACCAGCCAUGCCGCGUGUGGGAAGAAGGCCCUAUGGGUUGUAAACCACUUUUAACCGGGAGUAAUAAGGGGCGUGCGCGCCCCGAUGAGAGUACCGGUGGAAUAAGCAUCGGCUAACUCCGUGCCAGCCGCCGC
rnacentral:rRNA from 1 species